AAAUCAAUAAAGAUGAAAAUUAAUAGCCAGCCUAAUUAUCUCACAAUACACAAUUAAUUGAUCAUACCUGAAUUGCCAAAACAGAUAUUUUUUUCAUGACUCCGCCUAUAUAUUAUAGAUUUCCUUUCAGAUUUUUGCUUCUAACUGUUAACAAUUGAGAUUAUUGACAUACUGUCAACAUACUGACAAUACUGUUAAAAUACUGUCAAUACUGUUGACAUGUCUACUAAACCACCAGUCUUUCAGGUUUAGUUACAGACUGUGUGAAAUGGGUAAGGCCUGUAACCGCAUCUGCAUCACUAUGCUGAACUCUGUUGGCAGUGGGGCCUGUGACAGCACAGUGUCCAAUCCUAUGCAAACACAUCAAUAGAGGGUGUGUCUGCUGGCAGGAUGUAUGACUGGUCCUGGCGGUUGGCUUUCAGAUGUACGACUGGUCCUGGCGGUUGGCUUUCAGAUGUACGACUGGUCCUGGCGGUUGGCUUUCAGAUGUACGACUGGUCCUGGCGGUUGGCUUUCAGAUGUACGACUGGUCCUGGCGGUUGGCUUUCAGAUGUACGACUGGUCCUGGCGGUUGGCUUUCAGAUGUACGACUGGUCCUGGCGGUUGGCUUUCAGAUGUACGACUGGUCCUGGCGGUUGGCUUUCAGAUGUACGACUGGUCCUGGCGGUUGGCUUUCAGAUGUACGACUGGUCCUGGCGGUUGGCUUUCAGAUGUACGACUGGUCCUGGCGGUUGGCUUUCAGAUGUACGACUGGUCCUGGCGGUUGGCUUUCAGAUGUACGACUGGUCCUGGCGGUUGGCUUUCAGAUGUACGACUGGUCCUGGCGGUUGGCUUUCAGAUGUACGACUGGUCCUGGCGGUUGGCUUUCAGAUGUACGACUGGUCCUGGCGGUUGGCUUUCAGAUGUACGACUGGUCCUGGCGGUUGGCUUUCAGAUGUACGACUGGUCCUGGCGGUUGGCUUUCAGAUGUACGACUGGUCCUGGCGGUUGGCUUUCAGAUGUACGACUGGUCCUGGCGGUUGGCUUUCAGAUGUAUGACUGGUCCUGGCGGUUGGCUUUCAGAUGUAUGACUGGUCCUGGCGGUUGGCUUUCAGAUGUAUGACUGGUCCUGGCGGUUGGCUUUCAGAUGUAUGACUGGUCCUGGCGGUUGGCUUUCAGAUGUAUGACUGGUCCUGGCGGUUGGCUUUCAGAUGUAUGACUGGUCCUGGUGGUUGGCUUUCAGAUGUAUGACUGGUCCUGGUGGUUGGCUUUCAGAUGUAUGACUGGUCCUGGUGGUUGGCUUUCAGAUGUACGACUGGUCCUGGUGGUUGGCUUUCAGAUGUACGACUGGUCCUGGUGGUUGGCUUUCAGAUGUACGACUGGUCCUGGUGGUUGGCUUUCAGAUGUACGACUGGUCCUGGCGGUUGGCUUUCAGAUGUAUGACUGGUCCUGGUGGUUGGCUUUCAGAUGUACGACUGGUCCUGGUGGUUGGCUUUCAGAUGUAUGACUGGUCCUGGUGGUUGGCUUUCAGAUGUACGACUGGUCCUGGUGGUUGGCUUUCAGAUGUACGACUGGUCCUGGUGGUUGGCUUUCAGAUGUACGACUGGUCCUGGUGGUUGGCUUUCAGAUGUAUGACUGGUCCUGGUGGUUGGCUUUCAGAUGUACGACUGGUCCUGGUGGUUGGCUUUCAGAUGUACGACUGGUCCUGGUGGUUGGCUUUCAGAUGUACGACUGGUCCUGGUGGUUGGCUUUCAGAUGUACGACUGGUCCUGGUGGUUGGCUUUCAGAUUCAGAGA